rnacentral:rRNA from 1 species
GACGAACGCUGGCGGCGUGCUUAACACAUGCAAGUCGAACGGAAAGGCCCUGCUCUUGUGGGGUGCUCGAGUGGCGAACGGGUGAGUAACACGUGAGUAACCUGCCCAUGACUUUGGGAUAACGCCAGGAAACUGGGGCUAAUACCUGCUAGGAGCUCCUGAUGCAUGGGGGGGGAUGGAAAGUUUCGGCGGUUGGGGAUGGACUCGCGGCUUACCAGCUUGUUGGUGGGGUAGUGGCUUACCAAGGCUUUGACGGGUAGCCGGCCUGGGCGGGUGGCCAGCCACAUUGGGACUAAGGUACGGCCCAGACUCCUACGGGGGGCAGCAGUGGGGAAUAUUGCACAAUGGGCGGAAGCCUGAUGCGGCAGCGCCGCGUGCGUGAUGACGGCCUUCGGGUUGUAAACCGCUUUCGCCUGUGACGAAGCGUGAGUGACGGUAAUGGAUAAAGAAGCACCGGCUAACUACGUG